UACGGAGGGUGCAAGCGUUAAUCGGAAUUACUGGGCGUAAAGCGUGCGCAGGCGGUUUGUUAAGUCCGUUGUGAAAGCCCCGAGCUCAACUUGGGAAUUGCAGUGGAUACUGGCAGGCUGGAGUACGGUAGAGGAAGGUGGAAUUCCCGGUGUAGCAGUGAAAUGCGUAGAUAUCUGGAGGAACACCGGUGGCGAAGGCGGCAUUCUGGACCAUUACUGACGCUGAGGAGCGAAAGCCAGGGGAGCAAACGGG
rnacentral:rRNA from 1 species